rnacentral:rRNA from 1 species
GAGUUUGAUCCUGGCUCAGAACGAACGCUGGCGGCAGGCCUAACACAGCAAGUCGAACGUGAAGCCACCUUCGGGUGGUGGAAAGUGGCAGACGGGUGAGUAACGCGUGGGAACGUGCCUUUCGGUUCGGGAUAACCCAGGGAAACUUGGGCUAAUACGGAAUACGCCCUUCGGGGGAAAGAUUCAUCGCCGAAAGAUCGGGCCGCGUCGGAUUAGCUUGUUGGUGGGGUAAUGGCCUACCAAGGCGACGAUCCGUAGCUGGUCUGAGAGGAUGACCAGCCACACUGGGACUGAGACACGGCCCAGACUCCUACGGGAGGCAGCAGUGGGGAAUAUUGGACAAUGGGCGAAAGCCUGAUCCAGCCAUGCCGCGUGGGUGAAGAAGGCCCUAGGGUUGUAAACCCCUUUCAGCGGGGAAGAUAAUGACGGUACCCGCAGAAGAAGCCCCGGCUAACUCCGUGCCAGCAGCCGCGGUAAUAC